rfam:Lactobacillus animalis strain 381-IL-28 NODE_4_length_220489_cov_25.534748, whole genome shotgun sequence.
CUUUGAAAACAAGAUCAUAUCGAACUUAGUGCAGAGAAGUUGAACGCUUUGCUAAGAUAUCUCGGAGGUUAAGUCCUCGUAGUUUGCUAGUUGGGAUACUGGCUAGUGGCUAUCAAAGUGGUGGUGACAUCAUGGCGUUUUGUAAAAGCAAAAGAGGCUAAGAGGUAUGCAAAUGUAGCCCAGAAUUAACGUACCGAACUUUUCCACACGAUAAUAGACGCUCAGUGAGAAGAAGCUAAUAUUGCUACUAUUCAGGGAUGAAUAUAGUUUACAUUGGUAAUAUCCAACCAAGUGUGUUGCUGUGAAUGUUAGAAAUAACAGUAUAAGAAAAGAAGCAGGUACAUCGCUCAAGACGGCAGUUAUCAUACAAAUAUAUGAAAAUGCUGAAUGUUCGGGUCGAUGUUGGAAGUUGAAACACUUGCCACGGUCGAGUAAUGCAUAAGAAAGUAGUGAGUCGCUCUCACUGCUCAGCUCUUAUGAAAUGUUGACGGAACGAAUUCGCAAGCUACAGGCGUAGAGAGAAAUACUCCGAUAUGAUCUUGUUUUGA